rnacentral:sRNA from 1 species
UUGUUGCCAUAGCGACCCCAGGCUGGUUGACAACUCCAAAUGUCAUUGUUGGAUUAUUCAUUUACUGUGGUUCCUUCUCUGCCCAGUCUAGCACCAAAUCACUUCAUGACUGUGCAAGCAUACCAGUUAGAGAGAGUUCAGAUUCCCUUCAAGCUGUCAGAGUUAUGUCAGUACUGACGGCGGCAAUGCUUGUGGUGGCCUUCGUGACGUGUUGCCUCCAUACCUGGCAUGUAGUCAGGACAGAGAACAUAAAGCAUCACGUGGUCGUCGUCUGCGUUGUAUUCUCUUUACUUGCCGUUGUGACUACUCUAGUAGCAAGCAUCGUGUUUGGAGUGGAAUGCAAAAGAAAAAUGCCUUCUGACGGUGCAUUCAAAUCAUACGAACUCUACUAUUCAUUUGCAUUGUACGUCGCUGGCGGCAUUUUCACGAUACUCGGUGCCGGUCUUGUAGUAGCCAGUAUCAAGAGUUUGACAAGAGUUUUGUUGGUGUAAUAAAAACGCCAAAUUGUACAUUAUAAUGAAGAUUUUCACAAUAAAACUAACAAUGUCAAGGACACUCAGUUUAAUUAUGCUGUUAACAACUCAAUUAAAAAAAACUCGAGUUAUAGUUUUAACAAUACCCGAAUGCUUUGGCGUUUGAUCUUUGUUUCAACUGUACUAUAUAAGUAAUUGUUUGUAUCUCAUUUGUUUUUAAACAAUGAUAAAGGCAUAGAGUCAAAGUCUAAUGCCGCCUUCCAUUUAUAUAUACAUUA